GUCGAACGAGAACGGAUUAUAGCUUGCUAUAAUUGUCAGCUAAGUGGCGCACGGGUGAGUAAUAUAUAGAUAACCUGCCCUCUAGAAAGGAAUAACAGUUGGAAACGACUGCUAAUGCCCUAUAUGCCUUUAAUACAUAAGUAUGCAAGGGAAACGCUUUAGUGCUAGAGGAUGGGUCUGUAUGGUAUCAGUUAGUUGGUGAGGUAAUGGCUCACCAAGACUAUGACGCCUAACUGGUUUGAGAGGAUGAUCAGUCACACUGGAACUGAGACACGGUCCAGACUCCUACGGGAGGCAGCAGUGGGGAAUAUUGCACAAUGGACGAAAGUCUGAUGCAGCAACGCCGCGUGGAGGAUGACACAUUUCGGUGCGUAAACUCCUUUUAUAUAGGAAGAUAAUGACGGUACUAUAUGAAUAAGCACCGGCUAACUCCGUGCCAGCAGCCGCGGUAAUACGGAGGGUGCAAGCGUUACUCGGAAUCACUGGGCGUAAAGAGCGUGUAGGCGGAUAUAUAAGUCAGAAGUGAAAUCCAAUAGCUUAACUGUUGAACUGCUUUUGAAACUGUGUAUCUAGAAUGUGGGAGAGGUAGAUGGAAUUUCUGGUGUAGGGGUAAAAUCCGUAGAGAUCAGAAGGAAUACCGAUUGCGAAGGCGAUCUACUGGAACUUAUUGACGCUG
rnacentral:rRNA from 1 species